rnacentral:tRNA from 1 species
GCCGGGGUGGCGGAACUGGCAGACGCGCGGGACUCAAAAUCCCGUUCCCCUUGGGGAGUGAGGGUUCGAUCCCCUCCUCCGGCACCA